rnacentral:lncRNA from 1 species
ACAUUUCUUGGGCAAAAUUUAUUUUUAACUCCAAAUCAAUACUCAAAGUGUGUGUAUGCUCAGAGUGGUGAAAAUGAUUCACCUCUCUGCUUCUCAUUUUAGCUCUCUUACUGUAAAAAAGUAUACUUUUCCUGGCAUAGAGUGUCUCGUUUUUCACAUUUUUGUGUAAUUUCACUGUUUAAAAUGACCCCUAAGUGUAGUGUUGAAGUGCUGUCUGGUGUUCCUAAAUGCAAGAAGGCUGUAAUAUGCCUUACAAAGAAAAUAUGUGUUAGAUAAGCUUCCUUCAGGCAUGAGUUAUAGUGCUAUUGGCCAUGCAUUCUAUGUUAAUACAUUAACAAUACAUAUUAAACAAGAUGUCUUUAAAUAGAAACAUACAAAAAAGAAGGUCAGAUAUUGAUCAGUUGGUAAAAACGAUGUGACCAGAGGCUAUCAGGAACCUAACCCUUAGGGGCCAUAAUUCAGUAUUUGGUAAAUUCAGUUCUAUGUGUGUAUGUAUGUAUGUAUAUUUUUUUAGGGCUGCACCCACAGCACAUGUAAGUUCCCAGACUAGGGGUCGAAUUGGAGCUACAGCUGCCAGCCUACACCACAGCCACAGCAACAUGGGAUCUGAGCUGCAUCUGCAACCUACACCACAGCUCACAGCAAUGCCGUAUUCUUAACCCACUGAGCAAGGCCAGGGAUCAAACCCACAUCCUCAUGGAUCCUAGUCAGGUUUGUUACUGCUGAGCCAUGAUGGGAACUCUGGUAAAUCCAGUUUUAGAGAUGAUUUUAUAGACUAUAACUGCCAUUUUAAAGAUGAGAUUUAGGAUAACUGACUAUAUUUAAUUUUCUUUGUUGCUAUUGUAAAUGAGGUUUUCUCUAGCCAUGUAUCUUCUAAUUGAUCAUUAUUGUGCAUAUGAAGACUACUGAUUUCUGUAUAUUAAAUUUCUAUCCUGCUACCUCACUGAAUUAUUUUUUUUGUUUUAAUUAGGAUUAUCAUUCAUUCUCUCAGGUAUAUUCUUUUACCAUGUGCAAAGAUAAUUUUACUUCUUUUUCAACUUGAUUCCCCUAAUUAAUUUUUCUUA